UAAUAGAGGCGCGGGCUUCAUCAGUAGCCGGAAAACAGCAGGGAAAGCUGCCGGCGAAAGGGGAUCCCGCCGAAGUGUACCCGCCUCCCGAGCGUGUAUGCUGGGAUAACGUGAAAGACGCGUUAUACUGUCGUUACAGGGAUAUCCCUAACGGAGUGCUAUUCG
rnacentral:ncRNA from 1 species